CAGCCGCGGCCCUAGGGACCGGUGCGUACUCCGGGCUGAGCUCCGGCCGUCACCCCGCGGCCACCGACAACUGAAUAAACACUCAAAAACCCCUGCAAUCUGUCAAGGGCUGAGGCUGCCU
rfam:Erinaceus europaeus unplaced genomic scaffold scaffold00454, whole genome shotgun sequence